ACAAAAAUUUUAUUGUUUCUCUCCAUCGUUGAAAUUGUAGACAAACUCCGAUCGGACUCGUCCACCUAUUCUCCACUAUCGCCUCCACCCUUGCUCCGCCAUCACUGGUGAAAAGUAGCCCAGAAACAACCGUAAGCUGUCAACCUUCACCGCCUAGGUUCGAAGGCCCUCAUUCGCUCUACGUUUUAGGGCACAAAAUUGAUGGGUACAAAGAUGUUUCGGAUCUUCGGAUGAAGCUCUAGAUAUCCCUGGAAUACGUAUGAUGAUACCCUAGCCAUUGUCAAGGGAUUUGUUACCGAUGUUACGGUCCCGAAGACCGCACUUAUUCUCCCAAGUAAUGCCGGAGUAAAGAUCCUUGAUGAGUUGGUUCGCCGCCUUUGAUUGCUUCCUCUGUGAUUUUGAAUUCGAUGAGCUUGGUCGUUCAUAGCUGUGUUUGUUAGUUGACCUUAGGAUUGUACUGCAGUUUGAUACCAUAUUUAUUUAUUCACGUAUUACUUUUGGAUUUGUUGAUCAAGCGUUAGGAAGUUGUUAGUUGGUUGUUAUGGUGUAUGGCAUGGUGAUUUUUGGAGAUGCUUUAAAGCACAAUUGACGAAUAGUAUUCUAUUUUUGACAUGAAUAUGAAUAUUGUUGGAUUGAUGUUGUUCUGCAGGUAUGAACAAGGAUUCUAGAUUAAUUAUGAUAAAAUUAUGUUUUAAAUUAUUUGUGAUGCAGAUUGAUCCAUAACAAAUACUUUAGACAA